rnacentral:misc_RNA from 1 species
AACGAAGAGUUAGGGCUCGUUCAAGCAAGAUGGUCAUUUGUGAACAGAGAGGAGAACUUGUUAACAAGGUUGCAGAAUAUUAACUUAGCAUUUCACUUUGAAGUAGAGCAGCAGGUGAAUGGUGUUUUCAUUAACUUCUUUGGGUUCAAUGGAACGGCUGGUGUGUGGAGGAUAAAAGCUCUGGAGGAUGCUGGUGGGUGGCUAGAGAGAACUACUGUUGAGGAUAUGGAUAUUGCUGUCCGUGCUCAUCUUCAUGGUUGGAAAUUCAUUUUCCUAAAUGACGUUGAGUGCCAGUGUGAGUUGCCAGAAUCAUAUGAGGCGUAUAGAAAGCAGCAGCACAGAUGGCAUUCUGGACCAAUGCAGUUGUUUAGGCUCUGUUUGCCUGCUAUCAUUCGAUCAAAUGUAUAUACUUCCUGGAGCUUUUAUAUUAUCUGUGAUUACAAGUUCCCCAUUUUUGUUGGCUCCAAUUGCUAAUUUGUUCCUUUCGACUUUUUGCAGAUUAGCAUAUGGAAGAAGUUCAAUAUGAUCUUUCUCUUCUUUCUUCUCAGAAAGCUUAUCCUACCCUUUUAUUCUUUCACCCUAUUCUGCAUAAUUUUGCCCAUGACAAUGUUCAUACCAGAGGCUGAGCUACCAGCAUGGGUUGUCUGUUACAUUCCAGCCACCAUGUCAUUUCUCAAUAUCCUCCCAGCACCAAAAUCCUUCCCAUUCAUUGUCCCUUACCUUCUAUUUGAGAACACUAUGUCAGUAACCAAGUUCAAUGCCAUGAUCUCUGGUCUAUUCCAGCUUGGAAGUGCCUACGAAUGGGUUGUUACUAAGAAGUCUGGUCGCUCUUCUGAGGGUGAUCUCGUCUCCCUGGCUCAAAAAGAACCAAAUCAUCAAAGAGUUGCCUCAGUUCCAAAUCUUGUAGAAAUGAAAGAAGAACUUCUGCAGGAGAAAAAGGCUCCAAAAAGAAAGCAUAAUAGGAUAUAUACGAAGGAGCUGGCGCUGGCUUUUCUGCUUUUAACAGCUUCAGCAAGGAGUCUCCUGUCUGCUCAGGGGAUCCAUUUCUACUUCUUGCUGUUUCAAGGAAUAUCGUUCCUGCUGGUUGGUCUUGAUUUGAUAGGUGAGCAGGUUCAGUGAAAGGAUAUAUGAUGGAUUGUAGGGGUUAUAUAGUUGAGUGUAGGCAACACAGAUGCACACCGAAUAUGAAUAUGCAUCACUGAACACAAACUUAUAUGGUGGGAUCAUUAGUUGGUUGAGAAUAUGCUUCCUUUUCGUCAUUGGCCUCCGCCCUCCAGAACCCCAAAUACACGAUUCUGCCCAGAUGUGAUAAGAGAUUAGAGUUAAAAGUGGACAGAAGAAUGACUGCAGUUGGGAUUCAGAAAAGAUUACAUAAUAUCAAUGCUCUUGAUUAUGUGUAAGGGUUUUCUUUUUCUUUUUGGUUUUUUCAUUCUUUUGUUUUUGCUUCAAUUCUUUUGUAAGAAAAAAAUUGCUGUUAAAACGUCAAACAGGGAUUUUAGUUGCAUUUUUUAUGCAGGAUUACUGCCAUUACUCCGGACAUGUUAAUUCAAUUGUAGUUAAAUUUCCAGGAAUGUACAAAACAAGAAAAAUUGAAUCUCAGCUCAGGUUUGGUUUUUCCAGAUCCUGAAGGCAAAUAUGCU